UACGUAGGGGGCAAGCGUUGUCCGGAUUUAUUGGGCGUAAAGAGCGUGUAGGCGGCCAGGUAGGUCAGCUGUGAAAACUCGAGGCUCAACCUCGAGACGCCGGUUGAAACCAUCUGGCUAGAGUCCGGAAGAGGAGAGUGGAAUUCCUGGUGUAGCGGUGAAAUGCGCAGAUAUCAGGAAGAACACCAAUGGCGAAAGCAGCUCUCUGGGACGGUACUGACGCUGAGACGCGAAAGCGUGGGGAGCGAACAGG
rnacentral:rRNA from 1 species